rnacentral:lncRNA from 1 species
AACCCGGUAGGUUAUCUUACUCAGCUGUGGAAGCUUUGUUCUCUCAGUCUUCUCAGUAAAUCUUGCUGCUGCUGACUUUUGGGGUCCGUGCUGCGUAUGAGAGCUGUAACACUCACUGCGAAGGUCUGCAGCUUCACUCGUGAAGUCAGUGAGACCACAAACCCACCAGAAGGAAGAAACUCCGGGCACGUCCAACUGCGGACACACCAUCUUUAAGAACUGUAACACUCGCCGCGAGGGUCUGUGGCUUCAUUCUUGAAGUCAGCGAGACCAAGAACCCAGCAAUUCCAGACACGGUAAGACUGUAGUUCUCUCAUAUUAAAGUCACCUGGAGAACUUUAAAAAAAAAAAAAUAGCCUAUACCUGGCCAUUACCAUCAAUUAAUCAUAAUCUUUCCAGGUAAGGCUUGGGCGUUGACUUCUAUGUAAGAGCUCCAGCUAAUUCUGAUGCCUAGUAAGAGGGUGAGACUGGAAAACCGCAGAGGAAGGGCUUUUCAGUUAAGAUAGGAGUGAGUGAAGCCUACUUAAAUACUGAGAGAGAUAAACCUUCUAUAAUUUAUAUUAGUGUGUUGUAACUCAUUGAUUAGAGAUACCUUUAGCCUAUAUCACAAGAUACUGGUAUUAUACAAGUAAAUGCAGCAUUGGUCUGGGAGUUAAGAAACAUAAUGCAUUUUAAUUCUCACUCUUGCCAGUUAGCUACAUAAUUUUGUGCAAGUAAAUGAUUUCCACAUGGGCCGGGGGCGGUGGCUCACGCCUGUAAUCCCAGCAUUUUGGGAGGCCGAGGUGGGUGGAUCACGAGAUCAGGAAACCGAGACCAUCCUGGCUAACAUGGUGAAA